CUGCUCCUGCAAUCAAAUGCAACUUUUGCAGAACCCUCCACCUAUGUGAAAUUCUCUCUCUGUAUUUUUGGUGUGGGAUAUGUUAAAAGAAUGCAAGGAUCACAAAGCCAGCCCCUGCAGGAGUUAGAUGUCAGACACAAGACCAUCCUAGUGAAUCAGAGAAGGAUCCUGUUUCAUAAAGCAUACACACAAGACUUGCACAUCAGUUCAGGUAUCAGAGAAGCUGACAAAACAUCUUCAAGAGUGAAGUAUGCAGCAAAUGACUGCCCUGUAGUGAAAGCCAGGUAGGACAUACAGUAACAACUUUGGACAGGAGCUGAUGGAGAACUGCCCUUCUCUCUCCACCUCACAGCUGAUAAAUUACCAAAACUAAUCGUUGCCUUGACAGGCCUUUGAUCUCUGGAACAGCCAAUUUAUAAAUGAUGAGUUCCCUUACAUGCUACUCUUGAUAGAGCUGUUUGAAGGAGUUUUAAAAUCAAUAAGCUCUACACAACAGAGAGCCUUUAGUUUAUUCCCAUUUAUUGCAGGCAUUGUGAACUAUCCUUGAAAGUGCUUAUUGAAGGGUAUAAGUCAGGUAGCCAUACAGAAAUCAAGUUUGAUAAGAGAAGAGAUGGAGCUGAAAGAUUAAUACAAAAUAGGAAACUCUGUGCUUUCAUUGGCUCUCCCUCCCACCCCUCCAAACCAGGCCCUAAACUGAACAAAAGUUAUGGAUGCUGUCUCCAGAGAGAAAGUGUGGUUCAGUAUUUAAAAUGGAGAAUGAGAAGAGAAAGUUGUAGAUUCUGUAGACAGCUCAGCUACUGACCUGGCAACAUGGCCUGGGGCAGCUCAGCCCCUUGAUGCGUGCAGAUGGUUUAUCUGCCUAUAGGAGUAGGUAUAACAACAACCAAAAUUGCAGUACAUCCUUUAUCUAAGUAUGCAGAAAUGCUCCACAAAUGUGAAUGGCCACUGUCUGUAGGACAAACAGGUGGCAUUCCACUGGUGUGAAUGGCUGAAUAGUAUGGCAAACUUGGUUCUAGCCCCUUCUUUCCAGAAUGUGAAAUCCUGGGGAAGCUUUCAGGGGGAAGGGAAGAAAUUUUCCUUCUAGGCCAGAGGUGGCCACCCUGCAGCGCAAGUGCUACAAGUGGCACAGGGAACCUCUCUGCAUGGUACAUGACCGAUCAUGGAGGGGACAGGUGGCACAGGGCAGGAAGCAGCAGGAGAUCAAUAGAGGAGGGAGAUUGGAGUGGCACUUGGAGCAGGUGUGAGGCUAAUUUGUGACACAUGGGAAAAAGGUUGGCCCUGACUGCUCUAGGCCAUAAAGCAGUGUCAGUGUCAUUCUGCAGCCACAGUUGUACUACUUAGACAGCUGUAUUUAUGAUGGCCAUAAUACACUUUCUACUGGAAGGAGGACAAGAAGACCUAGUGCUGUCUACACUAACUGUCCAUAAGAACUGACAGAGUCGGGCAGUAGGUUGCUAAUUCUACCAUAACAUGCUUCUUUAUGGAUGUUUUCAGGUAAUGAUGGUUAGGGUUAAGCGUCUGUCUUGGAGUGAUAGAUACCUAUUGCCCCCAUUACCCCUUGUUUGAAAAUAUACCUAUAUGCUCUAACUAAAAUGUGAUACUUUAAAAAUAAAGGAUCAGUUGUUCAGGUUGGUAAAAACCAGCAACAGAAGCAGAAGUUUAAAUAGAUUCUGGUAAUGUGGAAGAGAAAGUCAGCAUGUCUGAAUGAGGGAGAAAUCUAGCAUGCCCAAGAAGAGGAAAAAUAAUUUGAAUUCCAUGGAAAACUCCUUGCUUAAAUUCCUUGUAUUCCUGAAACACCUCACUGCCUGGAUAAAAUUUCCCAUUGAUACGAUUCCUCCCCUUGCUCUCUCCCCCUGUUCCCAGUAACAGUUGGCAAAUGAGCUGGUGUGGAACUUUAUUAUGACCCAGAAAGCACAAGACCAAGCCAGCUGAGACUCUUUGCCUUGGGCACUGAGAAGCAAAACAAGCAAAAGAGCGUUUUAGCAAAUUAGUGAAAUGACACACACACAUGGUGGGUUGACAAGUUCUAGACCGGAUCCUGCCAAACUUUGCUUGCUGUUUUCUGCCUUAUUCAAGGAAACAGCUCCCUUGAAUUUCUAGGGAUCACUUUGGAGUAAUUUUCUUCUUUCUCUUUUUACUUGUAGGGGGCAGGGAAUCGAGUUUGAAAGAUUAGACUCUGUGUUGUUCGCUCUUGACUGUUUUUGAAUGUUGAUCUUGGAUACAAUAUUGGAGAGGGGAAAACUUGAAGCUAAUAUUAACCACUGUCAACCUUAUUCACAGUUGGAGACUUUAUCUUGGUGCGUAUUUGCACGCAAUCUUGGCUUUAAGUACAAUCACUUUUCCUGUCUCUUUUUAUUAAUCCACUGAGAGUGCUCAUUUAAAAAUGUAGCAAUACAGUGAAAGUGUAUUCAUGAGGGUGGAACAAUAGGAGGUGCUGACUGCUUCAUUUGCUAUCAUCUUUGGAGAGCUCAUGGAUCAAUUCAGGAAAUGUGUAAUGUUGUCAAUACUGUUGAAGUGGUGCUGUUUAAAGAAAGCUAAACUCACACAGGAUCCCAUCUCCACAGCCAUUCAAAGAGCUACAUUAUCUUCAAGAGCUGUUGUGUAUUUAAUACAAACUAGUAUGGGAUAAUUGAGGGAUCACUUUGAAUAAACCAUUGUUGCCAUGUUGUCAUCUAUUAAUCAAUUGAAUAACCCAGAUAUACAAA